ACGUAGGGGGCGAGCGUUAUCCGGAUUCAUUGGGCGUAAAGCGCGCGUAGGCGGCCCGGCAGGCCGGGGGUCGAAGCGGGGGGCUCAACCCCCCGAAGCCCCCGGAACCUCCGCGGCUUGGGUCCGGUAGGGGAGGGUGGAACACCCGGUGUAGCGGUGGAAUGCGCAGAUAUCGGGUGGAACACCGGUGGCGAAGGCGGCCCUCUGGGCCGACACCGACGCUGAGGCGCGAAAGCUGGGGGAGCCAACAG
rnacentral:rRNA from 1 species